GCAUGGGAGGCAUGGAGAAGACGAUGCAGGUAGGUUACGAUUCCCAUGCAUGGAAACGAUGUGUGGCAUGGAGAAGAAGGGAGACGAUGUGUGGUAUGGAGAAGAAGUGUGUGCGGUGGAGGACAGGGUGAUGCGUAUGGAGGUGGAGAGGAGGACGACCACGGUUGGCUGGAAUUAAUUUGGCAAAGUUUUGGAAUGAUUUCAGAGUACCACGACAAUAACAUCGACAUCAACAUUUGCUUUUAUUUUGCUAGACUAACCAUAACCAUUUGUAUGUUUUGCAGGUUUUUAUAACCAAAAGGUGCGCUACAAGUUUUUGAAGUGUUUUUGGUGUUUGUAGUGGUUUCUGGAUCUGGAUCUGGUCAUCUUCCAAAAGAGGCAUUUCUUGGUUGGUUUUGGUAUUGUGAGUAAUUAUAUUUCAAUAUUAGCAAGUGAAAGUAGUUCCUUAUUGGGAUAUAAGUGUCACUGGCAGCUGAGUAUUGCAAAAAAAUCUUGCUUCUAAUCUUGCUUGAAACCUUCAUAAGUGACUU